CCUACGGGGGGCAGCAGUGAGGAAUAUUGGUCAAUGGCCGGAAGGCUGAACCAGCCAAGCCGCGUGAGGGAGGAAGGCGCAGAGCGUCGCAGACCUCUUUUGCCGGGGGACAAAAGGCCGGACGGGUCCGGUUCUGAGGGUACCCGGAGAAAAAGCAUCGGCUAACUCCGUGCCAGCAGCCGCGGUAAUACGGAGGAUGCGAGCGUUAUCCGGAUUCAUUGGGUUUAAAGGGUGCGCAGGCGGGCCUUUAAGCCGGCGGUGAAAUGGCGGGGCGCAACCCCGUCGCGCCGUUGGAACUGGGUGCCUUGAGUGCGGCAGAGGCAUGCGGAAUGCGCGGUGUAGCGGUGAAAUGCAUAGAUAUCGCGCAGAACCCCGAUUGCGAAGGCAGCGUGCCGGGGCGCCACUGACGCUGAGGCACGAAAGCGCGGGGAUCGAACAGGAUUAGAUACCCGGGUAGUC
rnacentral:rRNA from 1 species